GACGAACGCUGGCGGCGUGCUUAACACAUGCAAGUCGAACGGUAAGGCCCUUCGGGGUACACGAGUGGCGAACGGGUGAGUAACACGUGGGUGAUCUGCCCUGCACUUCGGGAUAAGACUGGGAAACUGGGUCUAAUACCGGAUAGGACCACUGCCUGCAUGGGUGGCGGUGGAAAGCUUUUGCGGUGUGGGAUGGGCGCGCGGCCUAUCAGCUUGUGGGUGGGGUGAUGGCCUACCAAGGCGACGACGGGUAGCCGGCCUGAGAGGGUGACCGGCCACACUGGGACUGAGAUACGGCCCAGACUCCUACGGGAGGCAGCAGUGGGGAAUAUUGCACAAUGGGCGCAAGCCUGAUGCAGCGACGCCGCGUGAGGGAUGACGGCCUUCGGGUUGUAGACCUCUUUCAGCACCGACGAAGCGCAAGUGACGGUAGGUGCAGAAGAAGGACCGGCCAACUACGUGCCAGCCGCCGCAGUAA
rnacentral:rRNA from 1 species